rnacentral:rRNA from 1 species
AUUGAACGCUGGCGGCAUGCCUUACACAUGCAAGUCGAACGGCAGCACGGGAGCAAUCCUGGUGGCGAGUGGCGAACGGGUGAGUAAAGUAUCGGAACGUGCCCAGUCGUGGGGGAUAACGUAGCGAAAGUUACGCUAAUACCGCAUACGAUCUAUGGAUGAAAGCGGGGGAUCGCAAGACCUCGCGCGAUUGGAGCGGCCGAUAUCAGAUUAGGUAGCUGGUGGGGUAAAGGCUCACCAAGCCGACGAUCUGUAGCUGGUCUGAGAGGACGACCAGCCACACUGGGACUGAGACACGGCCCAGACUCCUACGGGAGGCAGCAGUGGGGAACUUUGGACAAUGGGCGCAAGCCUGAUCCAGCCAUGCCGCGUGCAGGAUGAAGGCCUUCGGGUUGUAAACUGCUUUUGUACGGAACGAAAAGGUUUGGCUUAAUACGUUGAACACAUGACGGUACCGUAAGAAUAAGCACCGGCUAACUACGUGCCAGCAGCCGCAGUAA